rnacentral:rRNA from 1 species
CCUUCGGGAACUCUGACACAGGUGCUGCAUGGCUGUCGUCAGCUCGUGUCGUGAGAUGUUGGGUUAAGUCCCGUAACGAGCGCAACCCUUGUCCUUAGUUACCAGCACGUUAUGGUGGGCACUCUAAGGAGACUGACCGGUGACAAACCGGGAGGAAGGUGGGGAUGACGUCAAGUCAUCCAUGGCCCUUACGGGCCUGGGCUACACACGUGCUACAAUGGUCGGUACAAAGGGUUGCCAAGCCGCGAGGUGGAGCUAAUACCCAUAAAACCGAUCGUAGUCCGGAUCGCAGUCUGCAACUCGACUGCGUGAAGUCGGAAUCGCUAGUAAUCGUGAAUCAGAAUGUCACGGUGAAUACGUUCCCGGGCCUU